CACAAACAGUGGACAAAACUAGAGCCACCAAACCGACCGUCUUUGCCAAGCUGUCACCGUGCAGGUAAAUGCUUUGAGAUGUGGCACUUGUUCAAAGCACGUAAAUAAGAGAUAAAAACAAGGGUGGUGGAGUGUCUGAAUAAAUGCCAUAGGAAUUAGAAGAGGACAGACACUCUAUGAAGAACGUUGGUGAACGAAGGCUUCACGGAGGAGGUGGACUUGGAGCUGAGCCUCAGAGGAUGAGGAUAAGCCCUGCGCUGGGGGUUUCAGAAGAAAGAACAGUGAUGGGGUCACAGAGUGCCAGGAAGUUUCGUGUGGCUACAAGCAGCUGGACACGGUAGACUGGAAAGAGCUGGAUGCCAGAGAGAACUGCACAGGGAACGAUGAGCGCCCAGGAAAGAUGAGGCGGGUGGCUGCUUGUGAUGGGCUGGACCCUCGCUGCGUGGCUCCCCCUACAGCCCUCCCAUCCAACUCAUCUGCAAGUCCCGACUUACCUCAAAAGCAUCACCUUCUUGGUGGAGGCUUCCUUCCUUGGAGCCCAGGGUUCCUGUUUUCUGUCCCAUCCCCAUCUGGGUGAGUAUGUGCCUCCUGAAAGGGGGAGCCUGGAGCCCAGGGCCUGAUGGAUGCUCAUUCUGUGCCUUCCCAGGGCCUGGUAUGGCUCAGUGUCCAUAGCGGGAGAAAAAAAAACCAAACCCAU